rnacentral:lncRNA from 1 species
AUAUAAAAAUUAUAAAAGUCACUUGAAUUUAAAGAAUAUUUAGAAGAAUACAAAAUAUGUUUAUUUCUCUUCUGUCUUUCAAUGUCAUCCUUGACUUUGCAUUUAAACAUGUGGUUUUCCAAAGUUGGGAUGGGUGCUGGCUAUUCCAGAAUGACUGAGUCAAAAAGGUGACAAGAUAGUCUUGGAAAUAGAUAGAAGUUUAUUUAUUUAUUUAUUUGUUUAGUGGCAGCGUCUUGCUCUGCUGCUCAGGCUGGAGGGCAGUGGUACAAACCCAGCUCACUGCAGCCCCAACCUCCUGGGCUCAAGUGAUCUUCUUGCUUCAGCCUCCUGAGUGGCUAGGACAACAGGCCCAGGAGAGGACUUUCCAAUCUUUGGUGUGGUUGUAUGUAAUUCAGAUCUGUCACUCCCAAACC